rnacentral:rRNA from 1 species
GACGAACGCUGGCGGCGUGCCUAACACAUGCAAGUCGAGCGGUAAGGCCCUUUCGGGGGUACACGAGCGGCGAACGGGUGAGUAACACGUGGGUGACCUGCCCUCAGCUCUGGGAUAAGCCCGGGAAACUGGGUCUAAUACUGGAUAUGACUCCAUGACGCAUGUUGUGGGGUGGAAAGCCUUGUGCGGCUGAGGAUGGGCCCGCGGCCUAUCAGCUUGUUGGUGGGGNGAUGGCCUACCAAGGCGACGACGGGUAGCCGGCCUGAGAGGGCGACCGGCCACACUGGGACUGAGACACGGCCCAGACUCCUACGGGAGGCAGCAGUGGGGAAUCUUGCGCAAUGGGCGAAAGCCUGACGCAGCGACGCCGCGUGAGGG